ensembl:snRNA U6 U6 spliceosomal RNA
UUGCUCGCUUUGGUAGUACAUGUACUAUAAUUGGAAUGAUACGGAGAAGAUUAGCAUGGCCUCUGUGCAAGGAUGACAUGCAAAUUUGUGAAGCAUUUCGUAUUUUU